UACGUAGGGUGCAAGCGUUGUCCGGAAUUAUUGGGCGUAAAGAGCUCGUAGGCGGUUUGUCGCGUCGGCUGUGAAAACUCGGGGCUCAACCCCGAGCCUGCAGUCGAUACGGGCAGACUAGAGUGCGGUAGGGGAGACUGGAAUUCCUGGUGUAGCGGUGAAAUGCGCAGAUAUCAGGAGGAACACCGGUGGCGAAGGCGGGUCUCUGGGAAGGUACCGACGCUGAGGAGCGAAAGCGUGGGGAGCGAACAGG
rnacentral:rRNA from 1 species